rnacentral:rRNA from 1 species
UACGUAGGGUGCAAGCGUUAAUCGGAAUUACUGGGCGUAAAGCGUGCGCAGGCGGUUUGUUAAGUCAGCUGUGAAAUCCCCGGGCUUAACCUGGGAAUGGCAGUUGAGACUGGCAAGCUAGAGUGUGUCAGAGGGGGGUCGAAUUCCACGUGUAGCAGUGAAAUGCGUAGAGAUGUGGAGGAACACCGAUGGCGAAGGCAGCCCCCUGGGAUAACACUGACGCUCAUGCACGAAAGCGUGGGGAGCAAACAGG